rnacentral:rRNA from 1 species
GAUGAACGCUGGCGGUAUGCUUUACACAUGCAAGUCGUACGAGAGUUUUUAACUCAAGUGGCGGACGGGUGAGUAACACGUAAGAAUUUGCCUUUAGGAGGGGGACAACAACUGGAAACGGUUGCUAAUACCCCAUAUGCUUUCGAGUGAAAUGGAUUUUUCCGCCUAGAGAGAAGCUUGCGGCUGAUUAGCUUGUUGGUGGGUAAAGGCCUACCAAGGCGACGAUCAGUAUCUGGUUUGAGAGGACGAUCAGACACACUGGAACUGAGACACGGUCCAGACUCCUACGGAGGCAGCAGUGGGGAAUUUUCCGCAAUGGCGAAAGCCUGACGGAGCAAUACCGCGUGAGGGAUGACGGCCUAUGGGUUGUAAACCUCUUUUCAGGUAGGAAUCAAAUGACGUGUACCUGAAGAUAAGCAUCGGCUAACUCG